rnacentral:sRNA from 1 species
GCAUUAGCAUGAGUUUGUCCUUUAUUUUUCUAGCAAAUUACACAAAAUACCGAGGGAAAAAGGAGGAUGGAAUUCAGGUCGCACUUUCAGCUAGGAAUGCCCAGCCCCUGAAUUAUUAACACCACACAGAAUUACGGCGCUGCGUGAAUCCCGAACUAAUAAACACGCGCCUUGGGUGGGAACGACUCAACUUCACUGUCCAAUGUGUUCAUGUGGACUGGCCUGUAUGCCAAGCGAACCUUCUCAUUCUCCCAGUACCUCGAGUGCUUCAUCCAUUGCUCAUCAUCUCUUUUCGUGAAAUCUUCACGAGCAUGAGCUCCUCUGCUUUCCUUCCGAGCCUCUGCUGAGUGCAUGGUUAUGCAUGCAUUUAUCAAGAGAUUUUCCAACUCAAUGGUCUCUAUCAAAUCUGAAUUCCUACUCCGGUCACUGAUCUUCACAUCAUGAUAACUUUCCCAUGCCUUGGAUAUGUGCAAAACUGCAUUACCUUCCUCGAGUGUUUCUUGCGUACGGAAGACAGCAGCAUUAUUUUGCAUAACACGUUGCAUGUUUAGACGGAUCUUGGAAGUUGGCAAUGAUCCAUUUGCAUUUCUCAGCUUGUCUAACCAGGCUAUGGUCUUUUCUCCAGCACUUUUUUGAAGAGGUUUCUGCUUCUCACCUAUAAUCGGUUUCAGCUACCCUGUUUGCACAAGCUCUGCCAAAAACAACUAUGUCAAGAAGUGAAUUUGCACCCAGACGAUUUGCACCAUGAACAGAUGCACAUGCUGC